rnacentral:lncRNA from 1 species
CAAGAGCACCAGCCACUACCACACCAAGGGAGAUUUUGAGAUCAAGGAAGAGCAUGUCAAGGCUGGCAAAGAGAAGGCCUCUCAUCUCUUCAAGCUCAUUGAGAACUACCUCUUGGAACACCAUGAUGCCUACAACUAAAUAUUCAUAGCUUUAUUACUUGGUGAUAUUCAAUCUUAUGUCCUCUUUGGCAUCAAAUAAUGGUGUGGUUUUUUUUUUUUUCUUCUUCUUCAUUUCUUUCCAAAACCGUGUUUGGCUUGUGCUUGGAGCUUUGGUUUGAAGAUUGAUUAAUACUAUAUUUUCUUUAGUUUCCAAUGAAUAAAAUGAAAAUCAUGGAUAUAUGAUGAUAUUUGCAAGCUCUUUUCUCGUAACAUUGUAAUGCAAAAUGUCAACAUAUCAUAUUUGAAGCGGCAUUUGUCAAUUACCAACGAUCAUAAUAAUUGAAAUAACAAUCGGACCUCAUAUGCGACAUAAUACGAUCAAUUAAUGGGAUGAAAGAAUAUCAUUUCGUUUUUCCUGUUGUAAACCAUUUGAGAAUUCAUACUAUAAAUACCGAUAUCCCGUGUAAGGGACUCUGUAGCUCAAGUGGUUAAGAUCAUUCUGCACGAGAUCCUAGAUUCAAUUCCCCCUCCCCUAAUAUAGCUUGUAUAAAAAAAUAUAAAAAAUAAAUACCGAUAACCCAUGAUGUUGAUAUCAAAGCUUAGAUAAUGAUCAAACAUAGAAUGAAAUGUGGAGGAAGAUAAGAGAAUUGAUAGAUUAAGGGGUGAAAGGUAUGUUAUGUAAACUGCAACACAAAUUUAUAAUUGUUCUUUGGAUGUCGCCCUUGUGAACAGGAAGCAGUCUGUAUCAAUGGAUAUGGAGCUCCAAGUCGAAGUGAUCGAACCUGCAAAACAUAAUUCGCAAAGGAAAGGUAAAACUUUUCACUAUCUAGCGAAAGUAGAAGAGACGAAAAAAGUAAUCUUAUUUAGAGUAUGAGGCACAGCCUACCUCAACACGUCAUGGUAGGUAAGAGAGCUAUUGCAUAUGGCUUCUGAAUAUUUAUGUAUAUUUAAAGGGUCUAGCCGCGCGGCUAUACCUAAAAAAGUUCGCAUACAUUUAAAGAGUAUAGCCACUCGGCUAUACUUUUAAAAUAUUCGAAUAUAUUUAAAUAGUAUAGCCGUGCGGCUAUACUCUUUAAUAUUAGAAAUGACGAUUUCAGGCCUGCGAUUGAGGCCAACUCGAAGCCGCGCGGCUGUACCCUAAACCCUCGAUUCGCACCCUGUUCUUGAUCUCGCGAUCGAUGGCGCCGAUGUGCUCGCUGUGGAGCUGUUGUUUAUUGGUCUGUUUCUCACCUUGUAUGACGUUUUUUGGAUUUCGAAUUCGAUUGGCUGUGCUUUGAAAGCAAAUAGAAAUUCAUAAGCAUGCUGCAAAACAAGGAUUGCUCAGUUUUAAAAAUACAAGUGUAGCUAUUCUUGAUUUUGUGAUGGCUUCUGAUAUUUAGCUAUGUUUUUAGCUUUCAUGUAAGAGAUCAACGAUUGGAUUAGUCUUAAUCUGUGCAGAAAUGGUGUGUGAGGAAGGGAGAAAUUGAUUAAAAAGGUCUGUUGGCUUGGGUCUGGGUCUUGGUUUGCAGAUUGGGUGUACGGUCUGUUGGCAAAGCCUGUCGGGGGUUGGGUGGGGGAGGAAUCGGAGACAGAGACAGAGCAGAGGGGGCGCCGCCAGGGGGCGUGGUUUGGGUGGGGGUUAUUUGUUAUUUUUGUUAUUUUUAAUUUUUUUAAUUUGUUAUUUUCUCUUUUAAAAAUGAAAUUACGAAUUCACCCCUAAUAUUGACGAAUUCCACAACUAUGUAUUGUCUAAUUUAAUUAAACUGCUAUUUAGAGAUAAUAUUCCAUAUAUGACAACCACAAGGUGUGGUGCGAUUGGCAAACUACUACCUCCAGCUGCCGAGCUACCUGAUAUCUCAAUGGCAGGAGUUCGAAACCUGUUAGAAGCACUCUGUAGCCAGGGGCAAGCCAAACCUCGAGCAGAGAUUAAUCCCACCUUUUGAGUGUGGGGACACCUCGUGGUAUUUACCAAAAAAAAAAAAAUUCCAUAUAUGACGUGUACGUUGAUAAGCAUUUAACAAGGUAAGAUUUUGUGUCCAUAUGGCACGUCUUAUCCUGAAAGAAUCUUACACACUAAACUUACACACACUACACAAAUGCUAGGACUCGAACCCAAGACCUCACCUGAGGGAGUAAAUACUCAAAACCACUACACUAGUGGGUCUUUUGCGAGUAUGGAAAAUAUUUGACAAAAAGAAAGAGUGUGGAAAGUUGUGAAUAAGUAGAGAAUGUGAUAUUUGACCAAAAAAAAGUAGAGAAUGUGAUAGCAUUUGUAAGAAAUGUGGGAAAUUUUUUGAAGUAUUUAUUGACAUCUUUUAGGUUUUUAAAAAAUAAUAAUAAUAAAGCCAAAGGCAAUUUUGAAAAGAAAAAAAAAAGGCUGCAUUUCAAAAGGGUUUAUAAUUUUUUUUAAAAAAGAAUUUUAUAUACAUUUAAAAUGUAAAAAAGGGAAGGGAAAAAAAAAGAAGGUAACGUGUCAGAACCAAUUUUUUAAAUAUAUAUUUUAAAAAAAGAAUGAAUUUAAAUACAUUUAAAAAGGUUAAAAUAAAAAAUAAAAAAAUUAACGACUAGCUGACAACAAUGCACCUUUAAUAUUAGCCUUUGGAUUUGCAGUUGCACAAGAUGUUCCAUGCUCAUGCCCAUGCGUAAUACUUUCUCUUCUUAAAAAGCACAUGCGUUGGGCCAACAAAAAAUUUGGCCUGAGCUAUAGUUGGACUACAAGUGGCCUGGUUGGAGGGCUAAAUGCCUAAAUGUGGCCCUCUAAAUUUGGCUAAAUUUUUUUUAGCCUAUAACUGAAGAUGAAUUUUGCAUUAAUUUAGUAUUUGGCCUGUAGCCCACGGCUGAAGAUAGCCUUAUCUUACCUUAUGCAUGCAUUAGAAAGUGUCUGUUUUCUUUUGAGGCCAGAUCAGUCCCAUUAAACAUGCUCUAAGCACUUCAUGAGCUGUUAAAAGUCUCUCAAUUGGUGCUCAAGGUCACAAUUUUUCUUUGGGGUGCUUAUACCCUUUGUAGCUGAAGUUUUUUUCUUUCCUGUUUUGUUUAUCUAAUUUUGGGUUUCAAGACCUCGUUUACAACUGGCAGUCAACACUGGAUUCAGUGGUAUGAUCAAAUAAACCGUACAAUAUUAACAAUAUGAUCAAUAGUUCAAAGUUACAUAAUUGAGUACCAGAUCAACUUUCAACCUUCAAUAUUUCAUGUAAAAUACAACAAUUCAAUCUUUUAAUGUGAUUUCAACUGGAACAUAUUGACUUUAUUAUAAAAUAUAUAUAUUAAAACAAAGUGUGACAUAUAUCAUGAACAACUGGACAAAGAGACACUUGAUGUACCAAGUCCAAGGCAAACCCACACCUUUAACUGACAAUGAAACUGGUAGAACCCAAAUUACAAAUAUAAACAAGUUUGGUUUUAGUUGUAGGCAUCAGGGUUGGCCGUUAGGUAGUCUUCAACAAGCUUGAAGAGACCGGAAGCCUUUGCUUUGCCAGCCUUAACUUGCUCCUCCUUGAUCACCACAUCUCCCUUGGCAUGGUAGUGGCUGGUGGUCUUGAUGAUGGAUCCUCCGUUGGGGGAUGCCACCAACUUGGUCUCAUAAGCGAUCUUCUCGAUUACGUCAGACAAGGCAUCUCCUUCAAUCAAAGUGUAGCUGUAAGAAAACUUGUCCUUGUCAAUCCCAUCGACCCUGUGCUUCACAAACCCGAAUUGGCUGCCUGCAAAUGGAUUAAAACAUAAAUUAGUAAAAUUCUUUGAGUUCAUCUAAGUGUCAAAAAAAAUGUGAACAUAUACAGAGAAUAAGGGGUCAACUAGCUAACCUUCACCAAACGUAAUUUUCUUGAUGGUUCCAACGCCUCCAUCGCCUUCAACAAUUUCAGCACCUUUGACUGCAGAUGGAGCAAUCUUGGGGAUGAGGGUAUCGGCGUCGAGGAUGAAAGCCUUGAACAACCUUGCUGGUGGGAUGACAGAGGUGAACUCUGUUUCAUAUGUGAAAACGCCCAUGAUGAUGAUGAGUUUUUUACUUGGGAAACUGAUCAAAGGAAAAGUUUAAAGGAAUAAGAGAAUAGUUGAACUACAAGGAGGUUGUGAGUUGAAGAAUGAGGAUGCUGAAGGUGAUAUUUAUCGAUCACAUCUAAGAGCAUGAACUGAGUUGAAGGUUCCCAUUUGGUGUGUGAAUAGCUGUCCUUGUACAUUGUUAACCAGUUUAUGCAAGUUGCUAAUAAAAUUGUAUUAGGAUAUGUCCAAAACGGUCAAGGAAAGCUCCCAGAGACGAAUUAAUUUACAAGCCAAUUGGUUCUAGACUGUGUACUAUAUGGGGUCGGGUUCUAGAUGGUCUUCCAAUUAUAAUUUGAAUUUUCAAUAAACAAAUGGUCGGUCAUGAAAGUUAACUACAUCAGCUGUUGUUUCUGAAUCCGUGAGGAAUCAUUUUUUUCCUCCACAAUGGCAACUGGCUGGCAGUCAACAUCGGCUUUAUUUUUUUAUUUUUUAUUUUAUUUUCUAGUCAACAUUGGCUUAUUUUCUUUUUUUAUUGAUACUGUUUUUUCAAUUUUAUAAGGUUUGGAUAUGAGGUGCAGUAAAUUUCUGCCUAGAUUCACUGCAAAAAUCUACUUCACAACCAGACUAAGGAACAUUUACUGAUGUUGCAAAUGUCUUCCAUGACAUAUUGAAUAUAUGCCAGACUAAAAGCAUACUUAGAGCAAUUUCACCUACUGUGCCAUGACAAAGAGCAAGAGCAAGUAAAGGCAGACACUAUUCACAUGAAUAGUGACUAUCCUAGCAAUUUUUUUUGAUGCAUUCCCUCCCACCUAUUGCCAUGGCAAUCCAAGGAUAAUCACUAUUCACAUGAGAUAUUAGGAGAGAAAUUUGUAUGAAUUUUGGUAUAGAAAGUGAAGAACAUGGUUAGGUAUUUAUAUAUAAAAAAAAAAUUAUGAAUUUUUUUCCCUUUCUUUCCCAAUUUUUUUGGUAUUUAAAUUGGUCGCUGACGUCAGCAACUCAGGCAAGUCUUGCCUUUGGGCUUGCCCAGUUUUAUGGGCCCAUUUUUUUCCAUGGCAAAAGGUAAUGGUUGUAAGUUGUUUUUGGAGCCUAAGCCCCAUUUUGCCAUGGCAAAAAGUGAUGGGUGGAAGUGCUCUUAGCAAUUAAUCAAUCUUGUACUUAGGCUGCAUGAGUGAGUGGAAAAGUAUUAGAAAACCAGUGUAACAACAUAUGUUUAAGCCUAUCAGAUCAGAUGUUCAUCUUCAUUCAUCCCACAAACUAAGACUUUAUCAGUCUAUAAGAUGUACAAAUUGACCUUAUUAGUUAAAUAAUUAUGUUAUGUAUAAUGUAUCUGCCAUCAAGUACUCCAAGUACUUAAUUGAGGUUAGCAACUCUGGUUGGCUGGACUAAUUGGGUUAUUAAGAUUAGCUAUUUGAGGCGGCUUCUUAGACUUGAACAGUAAGUCAAUGAAAUUGAAAAUUCUAGCCCCCUUUUCCAAUAGGGACAUUCAUUGAAAACUUUAAUCUACAGGGGAAAUUUCUAACACCAUGACCAUAUGCUUCCAUCUAUAAAUAGCACAUCCAGUGCUCACAUUUUCAAGCAUCAAAUAUCAUCCCUGCCAAUCAUCUAAUCCUUUCACACUUUCAUCUUCUUUGAUCAUUUUCUAAGCUCUAAAAUCAUCACCAUGGGUGUCUUCACAUACUCAGACGAGUCCACCUCAGUCAUCCCCCCACCAAGAUUGUUCAAAGCCCUUGUUCUUGAAGCGGACACCCUCAUCCCCAAGAUUGCUCCCCAAUCAGUUAAAAGUGCUGAAAUUGUUGAAGGAGAUGGAGGUGUUGGAACCAUCAAGAAGAUUAGCUUUGGUGAAGGUUGGUUUCUUCCACUGCCUCUUCCAAGUCUAACUUGUUUGCUUGAUUAACAUAAAUCUUGAAAGCAGUAAGCUCUAAAAUUCUAAUCAAAUCUUCAUUUUACAGGAAGUCAUUACAGCUAUGUGAAGCACCGGAUCGACGGGCUUGACAAAGAUAACUUUGUGUACAACUACACUUUGGUUGAAGGAGAUGCUCUUUCAGACAAGGUUGAGAAAAUCACUUAUGAGAUUAAGUUGGUGGCAUCUGCUGAUGGAGGUUCCAUCAUAAAGAGCACCAGCAACUACCACACCAAAGGUGAUGUUGAGAUCAAGGAAGAGGAUGUUAAGGCUGGCAAAGAGAAGGCAACUGGUCUGUUCAAGCUUAUUGAGAACUACCUUGUGGCCAACCCAGAUGCCUACAACUAAAACCUUAAAUGAAUAUAUACUGCAUGAUGUGCUUUCUCUGUCAUUAUAUUGGUGUGGCUUUCAUUUUUUCCUUUUCUUUUUCUUGUGUAUCAACCCAGAGCUGCUUUGGCUUGCACCUAAGUCUAUGAUAAAUUGUAAUGUGUGUAUUUGAUUUGAUUCUCAAUAAAUAAAGCAAAAAUCAGUUGCUGGUCUUUACAAAUUUGGUCUGCAGUUAGACAAGGAUAUACAAUAAAAGCAGAAGAGCAUAUCUGCUUGAAUAUUUAUUUUGUUCUUUGUUAAAUACCUUUGGGGAACAAUAUAAAAGAAUACAGAAAAUACAUUGUAGCACUCAAAAUAAGAGAAAUUCCAUUUCUGUUUAAUUAAAUGUUGGCCACAAAUGGCUUUGCAAAGUCAGAAGAUUUGAUUGAUAACAAAUGGGCAGCAGAGUGAGUUUCAAAGAAUAAUAAACCUCGUGGUGUGUGGACUUGACUUACCAUAAGAAAUAUGAAGUGUGUGGACUUGACUUCAAUUUGAUUAGAACAGCAAAUUUGGUAGAAGAGAUUACUUGAGAAGAGAAGCGAUUGAAAGUCUAAAUUGGAUGACAUGUUUGUGAAAGUGAUAGGGAGACAAAGCACAAUACAAUAAUGUAUAAUUCCUGCAUUGUGGGGUCUUUGAUGAGGUAGAAGAUUUAUGAUUAAUGGACAUUUGAAGCAGAAAAUGGUGCAGAUGGCUGAUGUUGAAGCAGAGCAUCCUCUGUAUGAUUAGAGAGGACUCAAGUCUACAAGACGUAUACACCAGGCUAAAUUACACGUAUCGUAUUUACUUAUCACAUCUCUUAUAGAAUGAAAAUAUAAUUAUACAUGCCAAUGAGGUCUAGCCCAUUGAAAAAAGGCCUUAAUUUGCAGAUUAGUGUGUUAGAUUUCUUUAUAUACAUGUUCAAGAUCUUUCACACAAUCUGAAAUACGUAAAGACAUACCUAACGCCAUCUUUCUUGAGUACACGACCUCUGCUCUCUCUCAAAAUCUGUUUCAACUCUCUCUUUAUGAUGAGAUUAGGGUUAGAUAACGUGUCUAACGAGAGCAAGACCUUAAGCUUAUAUAGGGCUAUGUCAAGUUGUCUCUACUCAUCACCGAGGGCCGACUUGACUAAUCUUCUAAGCCCACCAAGCAACGAUUCACACAAAAAAGGAAAUUAAUAGAACCCCUUAGGCUUUAAAACCUUUCCUUAGUCCACAAGGUUUCGGGCCUCAAGGUAUAACCUAAUUUAAACUCUUAUUAUCAAAACCGGAUAUAACUUAGUAUCUAGUGCACCAAUCUAAAUAGGCAACAUAACAUAGUGGUCUCAUAUUCGAAUCCUCAUAGUUAUUUGGUAGUGUGUAUGAAAAAUUCCCCCCUCCCCCUCCCCCUUCCCAACUUUGACAAAAACAAAUAUAAUUAAACAUAUGGGUUUUAUAAUUUCUAUAUUUGUAAAAUAUAUAAUACUUUUGUGUGGUUUGCCACACUAUUGUGCCAAGCUUAAGCCCACAAUGAAACCACAAACAGAAGCUCGUUUCGUAUUGACCACAUAGAAGCCCAAAGUGGAGAGCCCACUUAUUUUCUAUAUAAUACUAGAGAGACUGUAUAAUGAGGGGUUAUUUGAUACAUUUUGUAAGAGCAUCUUUAAUAGGCUCUUUAACAACUCCAGAAUGCUAAAAUAAGUGAGCCACAUCAUCAAAAUUCUCUCUAACAACUUUAGAAUGCUAAAAUAGGUGAUCCACAUCAUCAAAACCCUCUCCAACAACCUUAUCAAAGUCAAUCAUCAAAGUUGCAACCUCUUUCCUCUAUUUUCAGGAUUGGUAAGUUGACUUUGAUUCAAAAAUUAAUUUUACUUUGGAAAAAUAAAACCUACCUUGAAAAUAUUAAAACAUGCAUUUUUUUUUCCAGAUAAUAAAUACAUAGAAAUUCUUCACAUAUUUUCAUAUUUUUCAUUCUUUUUCAUAACAUUGCAUUAAUUGAAUUUGAAGAGUCUGAUAUGGCAUAAAUUAUAAAGUAGCAAAUAAACCUUUUCAAAUUACCACAUAAGUCAACAAACUUUAAUUUGAAAAGUUUAGUUUGCUACUACUAUUGGAGAAGAGCAUCUCCAACAGCUUUUUCAAAGACUUUAGGACACUAAAAUAAGUAAGCCACAUCAAAAAAACCUUCUUUAACAGUCCUGUCAAACCCACUCACCAAAUCUAGUACUCUUCCUUCACUCUGCAACAUAUUUAUUAAGCUUUGAAACAACAAAAGCUGUAUUGGAAUGUUAAAAGCCUACAUGAGAUUGAGUUAACAAUAAUGAAUUAUUAUUUAAAUAUUAAGUUGGUAUUAUUAAAUUGAAUAUAAUAUUAGUGUUUGAUUAAAUAGAAAAAGAAAAGUCAAACAUUGAAAUUAAUAAAAUUGAAGAGGUUGAUAGUGAUACAAAAUAGUAAAGUAGCAAAUUUUACCCUUCAAAUUACCACGUAAGUCAACAAACCACAAUUUAAAGAAUUUAGUUUGAAGAAAUUAUUGAAGAUGCUUCGUUUAUCCACAUUAACUCAAUCAUUAAUGUAAUUAGUUAAUACAUUACAAAUAGGGUUUUAUUCUUGUAACAAAGUGAGGCAAAUUAAGUUUUUUUUAGGGAUUUGAUUUCCCCACUCUCCUUUUCUCCACUUACACUAACUUUUUUUUUAAAUACUUUUUAAUCAAUUUUGUUCUUUCUCUUUCCUAUUCUAUCUUUACCUUGCACUAAUUUCUUUUUACUUCACUUUUAUAUUAGUUCUUUUCCUUUAUACUUAAUUUUCCAGCUUGUACUCCAUUUUUAGUAUUUUUUUUCCUUUAAUCGAGUAAUAAAUUAUUAUUUUUCCCUUUAAUACUGAAAAUGGAGUGUAAGUUGAAAAAUGGCCAAAAGUCACUUUUGGUCCUGUAGUUUAGUACUUCAACCACUUUUGAUCCUAUAGUUUCAAUUCUAUCAAUUUUGCCAUUGUAGUUUCGUAUUUGUAACAAUUUAAGGAUAUGUUAGCAUUCUUGUUAAUUUCUUUCAUGAUGCAAGGGGCAAUUUCGUCAACACAAAACCGUUAAGCGUAAAAGCUUGUCUGAAAUUCUCCCAAUGUCAUAUUAGGGCUCAAAAUUCAACCACUAAUCCCAAUUUUUGAAGAACCCUAAACCCAAAUAACCAAUUUCAAGCCCUAAUAUGAAAUUAGGGGAGUUUCAGAAGAUCUUUUAUGCUCAAGGAUUUUGGGUAGACAAAAUUGCCCUAUGCACCGUCAAAGAAAUUGACAGGAAUACUAAUUUGUCCUUAAAUUGCAACAAAUACGAAACUACAGGGUCAAAAUUGACCGAAUUAAAACUACAGGGUCAAAAGUGGUUGAAGCGCCAAACUACGGGGACCAAAAGUGACUUUUACCCAAAAAUAAGUAUAAAGAAAAAGAAAUAACAUAAAAGUGAAGUAAAAAAGAAAUUAAUGUAGGAUAAGGAUAGAAUAAGAAAGAGAAAUAACAAAAUUGAAUAAAAAGUAUUAAAAAGUAAAAGAGAGUGUAAGUUAAGAAAAGAAAAACGGGAAAAUCAGCUCACUUUUUUAAAUAUGAUGAUAUUCUUAUCAAAUUGCACCGAAAACAGUACCGAUUCUGCUAUUUUUGUUUUGUCUUUUUUCCCCACUCUGUUAAUUAUCCAAAUUAUGAGUCCCGCCAACUUUGAAGGUUGUCUUUUAUGUCAAAAAUAAUGCUGAGCAUCUAUUUCCUUUCUCCUUCUCUUUUUGUCCGGACAUUGAGCAUUCAGAACUCUGGCUUUAUUCCUCGCUUAUGUAUUUUGGAACAUAAUUGGUGUUGAUUUUCAACAGUGAAUUGCAAUAUCAUGCGAGAGUACUUAUAGCUAAAAUAAUUAAGAGUAUUUAUUCUUGCAUUUGAGGUCUUACGUUCGAUUCCCCCCUCUCCGAAAUAUUGCUUGUAUUAAAAAUUUUUUGUAAUACUCUGAUCACAGGAACAUUCCACAUGUGCAUUCUAUAUAAUAGUUGGCAUUCGGAGUCGACUAUGCAUGUAGAUAGACAUGUUAAUUUUGGAACAUCCUAUUGGUCAAUUAGAAUAUUAUUAAGUUAGCACACCAGUUGGAAUAAGUUGAAUUUUCCAAAUAAACUUUUAGUGGUGGCGUAAUUUCUUUGACUAAAAUAUUGAUUGAAAUUGGGAAUUAUAUUUUUCCUUUUCACAUGUACAACCACCGCUAAAAAAAAAAUUAAAAUUGUCUAUAUAUGGGAGCUACUUUACACAUAUACCCUUCCCCCUACCCUAUAAAUACCACCUCUGGUGCUCUCACUUCCUCACACCAAUAUCAAACAUUCUCUUAGCUUCCUCACAUCUCAAUCUUUCUUUGAUCAUUUUCUAAGCUCUAAAAUCAUCACCAUGGGUGUCUUCACAUACUCAGACGAGUCCACCUCAGUCAUCCCCCCACCAAGAUUGUUCAAAGCCCUUGUUCUUGAAGCUGACACCCUCAUCCCCAAGAUUGCUCCCCAAUCAGUGAAAAGUGCUGAAAUUGUUGAAGGAGAUGGAGGUGUUGGAACCAUCAAGAAGAUUAGCUUUGGUGAAGGUUGGUUUCUGCCAUUGCCUCUUCUAAGUUUAACUUGUUUGCCUAAUUAAUAACAUAAAUCUUGAAAGCAUUAAUCUCUUAAUUUCUAAUUAUAAUCCUCAUUUUACAGGAAGUCAUUACAGCUAUGUGAAGCACCAGAUCGACGGGCUUGACAAAGAUAACUUUGUGUACAACUACAGUUUGGUUGAAGGAGAUGCUCUUUCAGACAAGGUUGAGAAAAUCAGUUAUGAGAUUAAGUUGGUGGCAUCUGCUGAUGGAGGUUCCGUCAUAAAGAGCACCAGCAACUACCACACCAAAGGUGAUGUUGAGAUCAAGGAGGAGGAUGUUAAGGCUGGGAAAGAGAAGGCAACUGGUCUGUUCAAGCUUAUUGAGAACUACCUUGUGGCCAACCCUGAUGCCUGCAACUAAAACCUUAAAAUGAAUAUAUACUGCAUGUGCUUUCUCUCUCAUUGGUGUGGCUUUCAUUUUCCUUUUCUUUUUUCUGGUGUAUCAAGCCAGAGCUGCUUUGGCUUGCACCUGAGGCUAUGAUAAUUUGUAAUGUUUGUAUUUGAUUUGAUUCUCAAUAAAUGAAGCAAAAAAUCAAUUACUAGUCUUUACAAUACAAUAAUGUAUAAUCCCAGCAAUUGGAUCUUUGAUUAGGUAGAAGAUUUAUGAUUGAUGGGCUGAUUUUGAAGCAGGGUAGCCUCUGUGUGAUUAGAGAGACCUCAACUGUACAGGUAAAAGUAACAUUACAUAUUUACUGUUCACAUCUCUCAUAAAGUAACAUCAUAGCUUAAAACCACAACGGAAGCCCAAAUAGAAACUCGUUUCGCUUAUUUCACUAGGAGCCUGAACGACUGGAUUAUAACCUAACUGUAUAAGCUUCCUUUCUAAAGUAGAGGAAACAGAACGAGUUUCCACAAAACACAAAAUAUCAGGACUACGGGAAGUUUUUAGACUUUUAACAAACUGAAAAAAACAUGGCCGAGAGCAACCUCUACAAUUCCACAAGUAGAAAGAUGGUACCCAGCAGGGCUUUGAAACUGAUCAGGAUCAUUAUUAUUAAAAAUAUCCACAAUAUGAGGUGAAUGAUUGUCAAUAGUUCCAGAUGACCCAUGGGGGAUUAUUGAAUUGACUGGAAUUCCAGCAGUUUUCAUGGCAAAUACCAUUACUGCACCAGCAUUAUCAAGAUUGGACAUAGGUGGAUAAUCAACAAAAACCAUAAAAAGAGCAUUCAAGUAGUGUUCAACAGUGAUAGGAAGAUGGAACUUAACAGCAAACAACGCAGACAUAGAUACAGAUAUAAUGUAUGAACCUAUUUAGAUAAGAUAGAUAAAUGAAAAGCAAAAGAGUUCUACGCCUAACAAAAGAAAGUGAAAAGAUAAAAGUAGUUUUGUUACCCUUAAGAACUAGUGAGAAUAUUAGAAAAAAGAAUCCAGUAGAUUAAAACCAAACAACACACAACAUUACCGUGAUUACUUUGACAGUAAAAAACCCAUCAAGUAUCAAAAUAUACCAAAGUGGUACAUAACCAGAUAAGAAGAACAAAGCACAAGGAUUUAUAUUUAUGGUAAUAACAUGGUUGUCCAACAUUGAGAAUAUAUGUAUAUACAAAAAACCGAAUGAGAUAAGAAAAUAAGACAGAGGAACAUACCUGAUUUUACCAUUGCAAGUAGACACAAAGGAAAGUAUAAAUCAAUCAACAGACCAAAUCCAAGAAAUAAAAGAUGUCAGAUGUCAGAACAAAGGAAAGCAGCCAGAAAUUCCAUCCAUAAGAAAGAUUAAUCAGUGAGAAGAGCAUGCAAGAAACCAUCUCUAGAAUACAGACCCUUUGCUCGAAAUCAUGAAGAGAAAGACUAACACAAAAGCAAGUACGCCUCAGAUAAAACAGAUUACACAAAAGACUAGUAAGCCAAAAAACCACAACCCUCCAUUAAUAACCGAAAACCAGAGCCAAUUUAGGACUGGUUGAAGCAAAAACCAAGAUCCAUUCCAAAAUAAAGUCUGGACUAGAUCUGGAAAAGUACAAUUGUUUCCCCAUCUACCAAUACAUAAAAGCCAGACAAACGAACUAUUAAUUGUAUAUCUAAGUAGGGUAGGUAACGGAGAAGGGCAAGAAGAACUAACAAAAUACCAACAAUUGAAAAGUACAAGGUGGAAUAAUUUGAGAGAAAACCUAGUGCUUGAACUGAAAUUAAAUUUUAUAUUUCAAAUUCAAAUUCAAAAAUAUUAUAAAAGAAAAACUCAUGACUAGGUACAUAAACUUCCUACUUCUUAGCCAUUUGAGCUAAACUUCAGUUCAUCGAUACAAAGUCCAGUUGGAAAUACUUCAUAAUCCCUUGAAAUAAAUAAAUUGUAAGUAAAUAGAUAAAAACUUGAAAGAAAAACAAAAUCAAUGCCAAGUUUUGUUGCACAAAUACUGGAGAGUUAGGUUGCAAGACUAAAGAAAGCAUUCCAACUUUACAAUAAACAGAGGUUACAGAAUACAUCUGCGGAGCACAGAAGAUGUAUAAACAUGUAGCACAUAUGCCUUUCAUGAUUCAAUUUCAAAGGAUAUGCUUUGCAUGUAAAUUCUCUUAUAUAUUACAGGUGAUUUAGACAGAGGGAAUGCAAAACCUAAAGAAUGAUCUAAAAUGGUCUACUUCUCAGAAGAUCUACAAACAUAUACGCUUAUAUAGAUAUCCAAAAUUACAAAUGAAAUGAGCUUUAACAUCAAAUUAAUUAUAUAUUAUGACUCAUAAAAACACCCACUUUUGCUUGCUUGGGUUGAGUAUUGCAUAUAACUUUUGGUUCAUUUUGGAGAAACAUUGGAAAUGUUUACUGCAAAGCAUUUGAUACAGAGUAAAUAAAGUCCAAGAAGCCAGUUCCCUUGAGAAGACCUUUACCAGUCAAGAGUUCAAAAUCUAACAACAAUAGGAACCCAAUCACAGCUGCCUUCCCAUUUAUGAUUUCGUUCCUCGCGGUGAAACCAAACGCCACAUCUAGACCGUCAUCAACCACCAUUUUCACCUGAAUUAACAAUUUAGCACGUCACCACGAAUUGAGCAAAUCAUCGUCAGCAAAUCACAGUUUGACACAUGCACAAAGCCAAGCCACGUACAUUUUUUCAAUGUCUAGUUUCUUAAAGAACAAGAAAAGAAAAAGAAAAAUACCUCAUCCACAUUGACAUCAGUAGCUGUAAAACCCGGUUGAGCCUUGCCACUGAAGACAAUUUCGGCAGCUGCAUCAGAUUGGAGUGAAGCAGCACCGAGGCUGAUGUAAAUGUUUUGGUCAUCAGUUUUGACAGGGUAGACGUAAAGCGUCCUCAAAGCGGGUGUGAGGACUCGGAGCACUGGGUUUUUGGGAUACCACUCCUUAAUGGAUCCGUUGCGCAGAUCAAAUGUGCUAUCAGUUGAUGGGCAAACUAUACACCCAUCCUGCAAUGCAACCAGUAUCAAUAAGUUAACAAACAAUUAGGAUUAGGAACAAAUUAAUUAACUGAAUUAAAAGUAAUUAAUUGGCUUGCCUGGGUGAGCUUGGCGUUGAGAAGGCCUUCGCUAUAAGCCCCUUCAGCAGGGGAGCGAUUCUCAAUAGCAAAGACCUGAUCUUUAUACCACAGCAAGAGUAUGGCUUCCCCAUCUUGAAUUAUGACGCGCCGCUCCCCCCUUGGCAGCGCGGCCAGUGGCACUACCGGUACCCAAUUCUCCCCGCCGCCGCCGCCAGACGCCGACGACGACCCGUCUGCCACCGACACCUCCAUCGCUUGGCACCUCGUCGUCAUUCUCCGACGAGGCACAGAGUGGUAAUUUCGUGCAUUAACACCGUGGUAAGAAUUAUGCGGCAGUAUCUGUUUCUGGGGGCUUAGUAGAGGGCGGGAUGCAGCAGGUGUAGGAUGAGUAGUAAGAUGGUAAUUUGGGGGCAAUGCGGGGGCGAAGGGUGAAGUAGAGGCCAUGGAAGAGUGUUUGGGUGGUGUUGGAUAGACAAAAGAGUAAGGGAGGGGAGGAGAGAAAGUGAAGGGUUCGUGUAUUGGAUAAGGAGUAGGGAUGCUCGCUGCUAUUCACACAGUCGCUCAAAAGUCACUGUGAUCAAAGUUGGCCACGUUGUCAUUUAACAGAGCAUUACACGUGUGACAUUAAUAGAGGACUUAGGGAAAGUUACAAAGAUAUGCCAAGUUUCUUUUAGUUAUAAAGAUUGAAUUCAAAUAAAUACACACUCCUCAUAGCUUAACACAAAGACAGCUUUGGCUUGAUAUAAAAAACGAAGCAAAACAGUAAAAUCAAGAAACUCAAAUGAUUUUCCUUCCCCACCCUUCCCUCCUACUCUCCCCUCUCCCCUCCUCUCUUUCUCCACCCUAACCCUUCCCCUCCCCUCCACCCCUCCUCUCCCCCUCGUUCCUUCCUUCUCUCUUGGGGUUGUUUACAUAUACUCUUUGUGAGUUGGAUGUUUGUUUGUAGUCUAGUGACUCUAGUCUAUACUUGUACUUUCUACUUAUGAGAGUUUAAAAGUUGUAGUUGUAUUGAUAGUUUUAGGCACUACGGUUCAUGUUUGGCAUGUUCAAACUUGCCGCUUUUAUACCGAAAUUUCUUUAGCCUUAUAAGACUAUUAGUGGAGAUACACUUUAUACACUUGUUGUUGCCAAUGUGUUUCUACGUAUCUGGAUUAACCUUGCUUUAGGCACUAUUGCAUAGCCAAAUCCAACUUUUGAAAUUUUUUUUUAAUACCUAAAUAACCCAAUGGAUUUCAAAUCCUUAAAAGAAAAAGGAAAAAAAAAAAGGUAGCCCAUGUACUCCAACUAGCCUUUUGUAUAUUAUUUUAUUGAAUUUUGGUGUCCAUAAUUUGCAGGGUUAUUUAUUUAAAUGGUCCUCAAACUUAUACUCUAGUUGCAUUUUGGUACCUCAACUAAAUUAUUUGUUCAAAUGAUCCACCAACUCUUUAUUAAUCGAUGCACUGGUCCUACCAUUACAUUUUCUUUUAAAUUUAGUCAUGUGAGUAGCACAUGUUACAUUUGUGAGGGUAAAUAAGACUUUUGACAACUAAAAAAAUUAAAAUAUAUGAUUAAAAAUUAAUAAAAAAUUCUUUAUUUUUAAAAUUAAUAAAACAACAAAAAGUAACCCACAAAAUAAAAUAAAAUACACCAGCCCACCCAACCCCACUCCCAUCUCAUCAACCCAACCCCUAUAUUUGACGGCAAUAUUGACAGAAUGUAAUGGUAGGACCAAAGUCCCGAUUAAUGAAGAGUAGGUGGACCAUUUUAAUGAAUAAUUUAGUUGAAGGACCAAAAUGCAACUCAAGUAUGAGUUUAAGGACCAUUUGAGUAAAUAACCCUAAUUUGCAUUAUCCAUAUAUCCUUUAUAAGGAGGCACAAGUGGGCUCUAUUUUUUCAUUUGGGUCAUUUUGAUCUAGGCUCUUUGUAGCCUCUAGUGGAUUAUAUUGGGUCUUGGGCAUUAGGGUUUUCAUUUAGAACUUCGACCCCUUUAUUCAGAUUCCAAGAGUAUCAAUGUUUGUUAACAGGGUCUAGUCUAGUGGAUAAGGACCUUGAUUUGCAAAUUAGAGAUCUCAAGUCGGAACUCCCAUGACAUCUUGGUUGUGUGUGUACAUGUGAGAAACCCCCUCCCUUUAGUUUAGACUGUCGCUUGUACUUUAAAAAAAAGAGUAUUAUUGUUUGAGUAGCUUUCAUUUAGGUACUCAUAUCCUCCCAUGAUUGCCUAUAUCCCAUUUUUUUCAAUUGAUGAAUAGCGAUGUGUGUAUAUGUAUGUCGGUUGUUGUCUGUGGGUUGGAAUCUAUUAAGGUGGUCGUAACUUGCAAGCAGUCUGACAGUUAGCCUUAGUCAAAAUAUCAUAAAUAAAAAGUAGAUUUUGUUGAAUUUUCAAUAAAAAAAUUUCCAAUUGGAAAAAUUGGCCUAAAAGUUAGCCCCUGUCAUUUCUUAUUCAUGGAUAUGUGCCUGUGCGGUUACUGUGUUUUCUCUUUAUAUUAAUCUUUUUUGGGUAUUUUUAUUAGCUCUUGUGACUUAUGGUCUUUGUGUCAAAUUUAUGAAUAUAAUUAUAGCUUUUCUCUAUAGUUUUACUUGUAGGCAUCAAGGUUGCCUCAAAUGGUACUUCUCAAGAACCUUGAGCAAACCAAAAGACCAUUUCUCGAAUUAUGCGUGUCCUUCUUAUCAUUCCAAUUUUAUCGAAUCUUUACUUUAUAUUAGGUAAAGAAAAGAUUGAAAUUUACGAAACUGGAGAAAAUAAAUACUGCAGACUAAAUUUAGAUCUAGAAAGACUACCAUGAAAUGAUAAAUAUAAUGAUAAAUAUAAAAUUCAUGUUUUAUUUAUUGAUAUUGAAAUCGAAUACAGCAUUAUUCGCUAAUCAUGACUCCAAAGUGUAAGCCAAAGGCCUAAUUUGGUAUGAUACAAAAGAAAAAACUGAAAGCCACACCGCUCAAUAAACAGAGAAAGCAGGGCACAUGUUGUUGCCCCUAUAGCAUGCAGUAUAUAUAUGUAUAUAUUUUAGUUGUAGGCAUCGGGGUUGGCCACAAGAUAGGUCUCAAUAAUCUUGAACAAAGCAUGGACCUUCUCUUUGCCGGCCUUAACAUGCUCUUCCUUGAUCUCAACAUCACCUUUGGUGUGGUAGCUGCGGGUGUUCUUUAUGAUGGAACCUCCAUCUGCACUGCAGAAUGCAGAUGCCACCAACUUAAUCUCGUAAGAGAUUUUCUCUAUUUUGUCUGAAAGACAGACAAUAUAGGUGGAAAGUAAACAAACAUUCCCCAAAGUUAGUCUUGUUGAUGGUUCCAACUCCUCCAUCUCCUUCAACAAUUUCAGCACUUUUAACUGCUUGUGAAUGGGACUAUGCAGAGGGGACCUUGCACUCAAAGAUUGCCACACCUGUUUCAACGACUCUGUUUCCAUUCUCUUGCAAUGCAGAAUUGCACUAAUCAGAAGGGAACAGCGCUGUACGAUUCCAUACUCGAACAUGUCAAUUUUCAAUGUCGAUGAAGACGAGCCUGCUAAGUUUGUGCCGAGCCGAAAUGGGCUGAAGAGAGUUAACAGAGUUAAAAUAAUGUUACGUGGUGUGCCAUAUGUCACAAAACUAAGGAGGAAACAAGCGGCACAAGGGAUUUGGAAACAGGAAAAUAAAGCCUCCCGUAGAAGUUGAUUUGAAAAAUUCAACUUAUUCCAACUGGUGUGCUAACUUAAUAAUAUAAUAAUUGGCCAAGAAAACUUAAUAAUAUCUUGAUUUCUAACAGGAUGUUCUAAAUGCCAAGCGAUAAUCUUGAAUGCACAUGGAAUGUCCAAAAUCUAAUGGAAAGUUCCAAAGUACAUGUGCAAGGAAUAUAUUCAGAGUUCUAAUUUCCAAAAUACAUCUAAUGUUAUUAUUCACAGUUUUGGGCAUAAAAGACAAGCAUGAAAUUUGGUGGGACUGUUUGCAUCAUUAGAUGCUUCAAAGUUACAAAUCAUAUUUUGGAUAAUUAACACAGUGGGAUAGAAAGGACGAAACAAUAUUUUUGUUAGAGCUGCCAUGCUUCAACUCUGCCUUCUGUUCUGUAUCUUCUGCUUCAAAAUGUCCAUUAAUUAUAAUUUUUUACUUCACUUAAGGAUCCAAUCCAACUGUAACAUGUCUUCCAAUUUAAACUUUCCAUGGCUUCUCUUUUCAAGUAAUUUAUUUUACCAAACUGCUCUAAUCAAGUUGAAGUCAAAGUUUACUCACUUUAUAUUUCUUUUUAUUAAGUCAUGUCUAUUUCAAAACUGUUAAGUUGAGACCAUAGUCCAAACGUGGGUUAGACCGGUUGAUCAAGGCGAUGUGUCUAUUCCUUUGUAUCCGAGUUCGUUUUCUCUCUUCAAAAAUUAGGCUAGUUUAGAAUACGGUUGUCAAAACAACAAAAUUGAGAAGAUUGAAAUUCACGGAAUUGAAGAAAGAAGAUACUGCAGACCAAAUUUGCAGAGACUACCAUGAAAUGAUUUAUAGAAAAUUUAUGUUUUAUUUAUUGAAAUUGAAAUCGAAUACAACAUACUCUUUAAUCAUGACUCCAAAGUGAAAGUCAAAGACCUACUUUGGUAUGAUAACAAAUAAAAAUAAAAUGAAAGGCCACACACACUGCUCAAUAAACAGAGAAAGUAGGACACAAGUUGUUGCCCCUAGAGCAUGCAGUAUAUUUCAUUUAAGGUUUUAGUUGUAGGCAUCUGGGUUGGCCACAAGGUAGUUCUCAAUAAGCUUGAACAGACCAGUUGCCUUCUCUUUCCCAGCCUUAACAUCCUCCUCCUUGAUCUCAACAUCACCUUUGGUGUGGUAGUUGCUGGUGCUCUUUAUGACGGAACCUCCAUCAGCAGAUGCCACCAACUUAAUCUCAUAACUGAUUUUCUCAACCUUGUCUGAAAGAGCAUCUCCUUCAACCAAAGUGUAGCUGUACACAAAGUUAUCUUUGUCAAGCCCGUCGAUCCGGUGCUUCACAUAGCUGUAAUGACUUCCUGUAAAAGGAGGAUUAUAAUUAGAAAUUAAGAGAUUAAUACUUUCAAGAUUUAUGUUAUUAAUUAGGCAAACAAGUUAAACUUAGAAGAGGCAAUGGCAGAAACCAACCUUCACCAAAGCUAAUCUUCUUGAUGGUUCCAACACCUCCAUCUCCUUCAACAAUUUCAGCACUUUUCACUGAUUGGGGAGCAAUCUUGGGGAUGAGGGUGUCAGCUUCAAGAACAAGGGCUUUGAACAAUCUUGGUGGGGGGAUGACUGAGGUGGACUCGUCUGAGUAUGUGAAGACACCCAUGGUGAUGAUUUUAGAGCUUAGAAAAUGAUCAAAGAAAGAUUGAGAUGUGAGGAAGCUAAGAGAAUGUUUGAUAUUGGUGUGAGGAAGUGUGAGCACCAGAGGUGGUAUUUAUAGGUAAAUGGGGAAAGGCCAGAUUUGUAAAAUGGCUUUCAUUAAUAAAGGAAUUUAGACAAGUUUAUAAUUUUCCAAUGGUUCUUGUCCAUGUGAAAAGGAAAAUAUGAUUUUCAAUGAAAUACAGCAAUAUUUUAGUCAAGGAAAUAAAGCUUCCAGUAGAUGUUGAUUUGAAAAAUUCAACUAUUCCAACAGGAUGAGGGUGUGCUAACUUAAUAAUAUCUUGAUUUCUAACAGGAUGUUCUAAAAUUAACUUGUCUGUCUAACAAGCAGAGUCUAUUCUGAAUGCACAUGGACUCUUUUCAUGAUCAAAUUCAAAGAAGCAUUGCAAGCAACUCAUAACUAAAACAACUUAAGAAGGAUUAGUUACAUCCUUUAUCUCUUUUUGUUGACUAAUCACAUAGAUAUCUGCUUCAACUCUGCCUUGUGUAUCAUCAUUAAUUACAUAUUUUACCUCACUUAAGGAUCCAACUGCAGAGAUUAUAUAAUAGUGUAUUGUGAUUGGCUCCCUAUCCCUUUCCUAGACGUAUCAUGUCGUCUAAUUUAGACUUUCCAUGGCUUCUCUUUUCAAGUAAUUUCCUUUACCAACCUUGCUGCUCUAAUCAAGUUGAAGUCAAGUCUAUACUUUAUAUUUCUUUUUCGUAAGUCAAUGUCAAAAUUGUAAAGUAAAGACCGCAAUGUACACGUGGUUAAGCCGGUUGGUUCUGCCCUUUUCACUCGAGAUGAUACUCUUCUCAUAAAUUAUAGUAGUUUAAAUUUUAAAAUAAUAAUAUUUAUAAAUAAAAAAAGUUGAGACCUUAGUUUGUUAUAUUUCGAAAUUCUCUACCCUUUCCUUUGGUAUUAUAAUUAAAUGAUUUUUGCUUUAUUAAUUGAGAUUGAUCAAAUACAAUACUACAAUUUAUCAUAACCCCAAAUGCAAGCCAAAGACUGCUCUGGCUUGACAGAAGAAAAAAGAAUGUGAAAAGGACGUUAGAUUUUUCAGUUGAUUGAAUGAGAAUAUUAUUGAGUCAGCAAACUCAGCACACCAGAACAUUCUAUGAAAAAAUUCCAGCUAGUUGUAAUAAGUUGGAAUUUUUAAAAUCAACUUGUAGAGGUGGCUUUGUUUGACUAAAAUAUUCACAUGGGAAACAACCACUGAACUUUAUAUCCAUUGGGCUCACUUUACACAUCAGACUCUUCACCCUAAACCUAUAAAUACCACCUCCAGUGCUCAUAGCUUCCAACAUCAAGUAAUACCUCGAAUUUCAUUCUUAUUUUUUAUCAUUUCCUAAGCUCUUAAAUCAUCAUCAUCAUCUAUCAUGGGUGUCUUCACAUACGCAACCGAGUUCACCUCAGUCGUUCCUCCUGCUAGGUUGUUCAAAGCCCUUGUUCUGGAUGCUGACAACCUAGUCCCAAAGAUUGCUCCACAAGCAAUUAAAAGUGCUGAAAUUGUUGAAGGAGAUGGAGGUGUUGGAACCAUCAAGAAGACUAGCUUUGGUGAAGGUUUGUUUACUUCCCACCAUUGUCUGUCUCUCUACUAAUUAACUUGGUUUUCAAGUUAAUAUGUAUCUUGAAAGCAUUAGUGUAAUAAUUUCUAAAAAGAUUGACAUUAACCAUCCUGAAAUUUUGAAAUUACAGGAAGUGAAUACAGCUACGUGAAGCACCAAGUUGACGCGCUUGACAAAGAUAACUUUGUGUACAACUACAGUUUGAUUGAAGGAGAUGCUCUUUCAGACAAAAUAGAGAAAAUCUCUUACGAGAUUAAGUUGGUGGCAUCUGCAGAUGGAGGUUCAGUAAUAAAGAACACCAGCAGCUACCACACCAAAGGUGAUGUUGAGAUCAAGGAAGAGCAUGUUAAGGCCGGCAAAGAGAAGGCCCAUGCUUUGUUCAAGAUUAUUGAGACCUAUCUUGUGGCCAACCCUGAUGCCUACAACUAAAACCAUCUAUAGGUGCAACAGUCUUGUGUCCUGUUUUCUCUGUUUCUUCAGCAAUGUGGCAUUCAAUUCUUUUUUCUUCUUUAUCAUUUGAAUUGCACUUUUGGAGUUAAGAUUGAAGAGUAAUGUUGUACUUAAUUUCAGUCCCAAUAAAUAAAUAAAACAUAAAUUUCAGUACUUCUGUUUUCCCCUUUUGAGUAAUUGUUACCAACUAACAGUAAACUGUUUUUUUAAUUCAAAACUAACAAUGACUGAGGAAGGCUAAGAUUUUAAGUGAAUCAAUUUUCUUGACAACAUGACGCUGGUGCAGUCAUAUCUUCACUUAAACGUGAAAAACCCCCAAAAAAUUUUUAUACUGAAAUGCUUUAAAAUGAGGCUGAGCACAAGGGCGGACUCGGGAAAUUUUAUAGGUUGGACUAAUAUCUUUUAAUGGGAGAUUUACCUUUUUUUUUUCUUUUUAAAAACAUGUUUACAUGGUUUUUUUGAUAAGGGGUUUACAUGGUUAAUUGGCUAUAGGCUAUAGGUUUUUUUUUUUAUAUGCAAAGAAAAUGAGUGGUAGCAACUAUUCUUCAAUUAAUAAUUUUUAAAUUUUAUGAGAGUACACAUAGACGUAGGGAGUGUAGAUACAAUUGCACAAUCACAAGCUACAAGCAUUCAACAAAACCAAGAGACAACUAGACUAUAUAAAAGCAGACAUGGUUAAGCCAGUUGUCAAAAUUGUAAAAUAAGGAUUUCUAUGUAGGCUUAUCUUUUGAGGUGCCAUUUUUUGUGAAAAUCCCACAUAAAAAAUCCACACUCCUAUAAAGGUGUUUAUAAACAAAGCCCUAUGAUGAUUUGAUAAGUGUGGUUAACAUUGGAGAGUUGGGCUCAUGGGCUUGGCUAUAGGCUCGGCUUUGAUUAAUAAUAAUUAUAUCAAUCAAAGACUAGGGCCUUGGGGCUCUUGGGAUCGGGAGAAAUUUAAUUAAGACACCUAAACGAAAAUAAGUAAUUUAAUGGGAUACUUUUUUUUCUUUUAAAUAUUUUUCCCCGAUUUUCGUUUAUCGAUAAGAGUAGUUUAAGACACCCAGAGUAAUUACCCGUACAAAAAAUACACAUAUUUUUAACAAAAGUUUCAAUAAGACACAAAUUAACGUGUAUAUAGUAUAGCCAUGCUCGGUUCAUUUUAAUUUUUUUGUAAAACUAGUAUAGCCGGUCGGCUGUACUCGGUUUUUCUGAAUUUUUUAAAAUAGUAUACCCGGGCGGCUAUACUCGAUUAUUCCCUAAUUUUUUAAAAAAAUAGUAUAGCCGGGUGGCUAUAUCUAUUUUGACACAUGGACGUCUGAUCGCAAGGGGGUCCACUUUUUUUACGUGUACAAGUAGUAUAGCCGCACGGCUAUACUCGAUUUUUUUUUUCUUAAAAAAUAGUAUAGCAGACCGGCCAUACUCGCUUUUUUCUUUUUUAAAAAAAAAAAUACCUCUCAUGACAAAAUAUCGUGGGUAGAGGUCUAUGCUGACAAAGGUUUGCCGGAUUAGACACCUCCUGACGAAAUUUGCCUAUGUCGACGAAAUAUUGUCUGCAAAGAUCUUCCAGCAAAUUUCGCCGAGAUAGACAUUUGUCGACGAACUUUCGUACGCAGAGAUUUAAAAAAUAAAUAAAUAAAAACUUAGUAUGUUUAGGUUAAUUAAUUUUUUAAAAUUUUAUUUUUAUUAAUUAAAUAUUAUCUUUGCCCAAUUAUUAUUUCUUUAAUGAAUAAUUGGUAUUAAGUAUUUUAAUUGACUUCAUGAAUUAUAUUACUCAAUAAAUAGUAAUUCAAAGUUUCUAUUUUUAGAGUAUAAUCGCGUGGUUAUACUCUUUAAAUAUAAUUUCAUAUUGCACCAACAACAAAAAUAAGGGUUUCUAUGUAGGCUUAUCUUUUGAGGUGCCCUUUUUUGGUGAAAAUCCCACAUCGAAAAUUCACGCUCCUAUAAAGGUGUUUAUAAAUAAAGCACUAUGAUGGUUUGGUAAGUGUGGUUAACAUUGGAGAGUUGGGCUAAUGGGCUUGGCUUUAGGCUCGGCUUUGAUUAAUAAUAAUUAUAUCAAUCAAAGACUAGGGCCUUGGGGCUCUUGGGAUCGGGAGAAAUUUAAUUCUUGGGAUCUGGAGAAAUUUAACUAAGACACCCAAACGAAAAUAAGUAAUUUAAUGGUAUCCUUUAUUUUCUUUUAAAUAUUUUACCCUGAUUUUCGUUUAUCGAUAAGAGUAGUUACCCAGAAUAAUUACCCGUACAAAAAAUACACAUAUUUUAAACAAAAGUUUCAAUAAGCUACACAAAAUCAACGUAUUAUACAAAUAAUUCUCACCUAUUAUUGAAUAAAAAUAAUAUAUAUUCAAAUAUUGUAAAGUGACCAAUUUUUAAGUUGUAAAGGGAUCCCUUUUUUUAUUUGUAUUUUAAAGAAAAAUUUUAUUUUUCGGAUUUUUUUUUCAAAAAUAGUAUAGCCGUGCGGCGGUGCUCUCUUUUUUCUAAUUUUUAAAAAAUAGUAUAGCCGAGCGGCUAUACUUAUUUUGACCCGUGGGCACCUAACCGCAAGGGGGUCUUUUUUAAUGUGUAUAAAUAGUAUAGCCGCACGGCUACACUCAUUAUUUGAUUUUUUUUGUAAAAAUAGUAUAGCCGGUCGGCUGUACGCCGUUUUUCAUCUUUUUAUUUUAUAAAUAGCAUAGCCGGUCCGCUAUACUCGCUUUUCCCUAAUUUUUUUCAAAAUAGUAUAGCCAGGCGGCUAUACGUAUUUUGACACGUGGGCACUUAACCGCAAUAGGGUCUUUUUUAACGUGUAUAAAUAGUAUAGCCGCACGGCUAUACUCAAUUUUUUUUUUUUGUAAAAAUUGUAUAGCCGGUCGGCUGUACUCGGAUUUUCCUUAUUUUUUAUAUAUAAAAAAAUUAUAAAAAAAUUAUAAAAAAAUUCUUCAGUUAGCCUAUCCCACCCCAAUCGCCCUCUCCCUCCCUCUCCCCACCAACCCCAACCUUCUCCUUUGGCGAAAUCCCAACAGUCAACACCAUGACCUUACAAACAAUUAACUCUCAUUCUUUAACCAAAGAAAAACUCUUCUUCUACUGCCAACGAAAAAAACACUCCCCUUCCUAUCACCCACAAAAAAAAAAAAAAACACAUUGAUUGCUCUAUCUAUUCCAAAAAAUGAAAACACAUUUGCUUUAUUUUAUUUUUAAUUUCAAAGACUGCAAGAGAGGUGUUAUUUGAGUUUGAAAUUAAAAGGAAAGAAGGAGACAAAGGAAGAAAAGGAAAUGGCCAUGGAUUUCUGUCAGUUUUAGAGUUUCCCAAAAGCUCAAAGUUGAUGUAAUUAUGGGACUACUUGAGCUUCAGAGUUAGAGAAGAAAGAAAAACAAUUGGAUUAUGUGUGAUUGAAAAUAAAAUUAGGGUUAUGAGUUUGUAAGUUUAGAUUUUCUUAUGGUUCCUAAUUUCUGAAGAACACAGGGAGAGAAAGAUGUUCACUUUGUUUUCUUUGGUGGGUUGGGUAUGAAGAUGGGUGUGGAUUUCGAACAAAAAGAAAAAGAAAAAGAAAAUAUGGGUUGGGGUGCAUGUGAGAGAGACUGAGGGAGUUGUUCUCAUUAGUCAUUUUACAAAGGGGUAAAUUUGUCUUUAAAAUUUUGAAAAUAAGAUGGGUAGGAAAAUAAGACAGAUAGAUGGAAAUAGCAGGACUCUAACUUUUAAAUUGUAAAGGGGUCCCUUUUAAAUAAUAAUAAUAAUAAUUUUUUUAAAAAAAAUAGUACCGCCACACGAUUGUACUCUAUUUUUUUCCUAAUUUAAAAAAAAAAUAGUAUAGCCGGUCGGCGAUACUUAUUUUGACACUUGAGCACCUAAUCGCAAGGGGUUCCUUUUUUUAAGUGUAUAUAUAGUAUGGCCGCACGGCUAUACCUGGGGUUUUUUUUGUAAAAGUAGUAUAGCCGGUCGGCUGUACUCAGUUUUUCCUAACUUUUUUUUUAAUAAAUAGUAUAGCCGGGCAGCUAUACUUAUUUUGACACUUGGGCGUCUAAUCGCAAGCGGGUCCACUUUUUUACGUGUACAAAUAGUAUAGCCGCACGGCCAUACUCGGUUUUUUUAAAAAUAAAAAAUAAAAAAUUCUAGCUGGUCUCCUGUACUCGGUUUUUUCUUCUUUUUUUUUAAAAAAACCUCUCUCGACGAAAGAUACCUCUGCCGACGAAAUUUGUUGGGAAAGGUCUCCGGCAAAUUUUGCCGGGAUAGACAUGUGCCGACGAACUUUCGUCGGAAGAGAUUUUUAGAAAAAAUAAAUAUAAACUUAGUAUGUUUAGGUUAAUUAAUUUUUUUAAUUUUAAUUUUUAUUAAUUAAAUAUUAUCUUUGCCUUAUUUUCAUUAUUAUUUCUUUAGUGAAUAAUUAGUAUUAAAUAUUUUAAUUAACUUCAUGAAUUAUAUUACUCAAUAAAUAGUAAUUCAAAUUUUCUAUUUUUAGAGUAUAGUCGCACGGCUAUACUCAUUAAAUACAUAUUGCAUCAACAAUAAAAAUAAGGAUUUCUAUGUAGGCUUAUCUUUUGAGGUGCCCUUUUUUGUGAAAACCCCACAUUAAAAAUCCACACUCCUAUAAAGGUGUUCAUAAACAAAGUACUAUGAUGGUUUGGUAAGUGUGGUUAAUUACCCAUACAAAGAAUUUAGCACUUUCACGUUUAAUAGUGUACAUGUACGUACGUAUUUUUCAUGUUUAAUACAUGUAUUUUUAAAAAAGUUUCAAUAAGACACACAAAAUUAACGUAUUAUACAAAUAAUUUUCACCUAUUAUUGAAUAAAAAUAUUAUAUAUUAAAAUAUUAUAUAGUGACCUAACUUUUAAGUUUUAAAGAGGUCCUUUUUUUUAGUUAAAAAAAAGUAUUUUUCUGAUUUUUUUUUUUACAAAAGUUUUUCCUUUAUUUCCCGUUUUUUCUAAAUGUCCAUCUUAGCAGUUCACACGCUAUAAAAGAAAAAAAAGAAACUACUAAAAUGGACGUCUAGAAAAAUACGGGCGAUAAAGGAAAACUUUUAAGACGACGAUUUAUCACACAUGCGCGAUUAAAAUAUGAAACUGUUGAAAUGGACAUCUAUAUAAAUACAAUUGCAAAAAAAUAUUUACGAAACUUUAUAAGUUGCGCGUAGUGCGUGUGAUUUAAAAAAAGACUCUCGCCUAAGCAAAAGUGUGUGCAUGGAGGCUAAUAUAUAUAUAUAUAUAUAUAUAGUACAACCAUUCAACUAUACCUGAUUUUAUUUUUUUAAUUUGUUAAAAAAAAGUAUAGCCGCGGCUAUACUCUGUUUUAUUAAUGUCUCUAAGAAAGUAGUGUAGUUGCUAAAGUCAUUCUAGAUUAUGUUUACACUAUUGUUUGGGGUCUUUCCAAGAAUGCUUCUGUUGGGGUCUUUUCCGUCGGAAGGCUCAUCCGGGCUUGUUGAUUCUUGGACCGUCAUAGAGUGGUGAAUCAAGCCUUCAUUGUCCCUUUCUGAGUUAGCAAGAAAUAGGCCUAAAGUAUCCCGAGGGAGAAGCAAGUCCUAGGGGAGUACUUUGUUCUUCUUUCAGCGACUGCGUGCUUUGUAUGGAUGUUUUCAGCCGCUUGACGAAGAGUAGAAGAUGGUGCAUUGAUGUUAAACAGACUUGGCAUGAGAGUUUGCUUUGUGAAUUAAGAUACUACUAGACUUGGCAUAAGAUGUUAGGUGUUUUAGAUAUGGGAUUGAGCUUUUUUGAGAGAGAGAGAGAGAGAAAGAGAGAGAAAGAGAGAGAGAGAGAGAGAGAGAGAGAGAAAGAGAGAGAGAGAGAGAGAGAGAGAGAGAGAGAGAGAGAGAGAGAGAGAAGAUGGGUGGCUUGAGUAGAUUUCCAGCAGCUUGACGAAAGCUUUGUCAGGCUCUUGGGUGGCUUACCAGAAGAGAAAAAAAGGGAAGAAAUAGAAUAAUAGAGCUUGAAAUAGAAAGUUUCCAGAGGUGAGUGGUGAUGCUUGCUCUCUCUGGAUGUGUUUAUGGGAGGGAGAGGAAGAAUAUGGAAGAACACGCCUUGAGAUUGAAGCUUCCAGCAAUGAGUAAGGGUGUUGCUUGCUUUGGCUGAGUUGAAGAUGACUUGCUGACGUUGAUAUGAGAUUAUAUGAGCUUAGCAUGAGAGCUUAGAGUGUGGGAGCUAAAGACCCACAAGUUUAGCAAAUGAGAAUGUUUGUGCUUAGGUUGGUGUUUGAUAUGCUUGAGUUUGGGUGUUAGGAAUUUAUUGUUUAAAGUUAUGGCUAUGGUGGUUUGAUUGUUUGGCUGUGAUGGUUGUUGGGAUGCUUAUAGCAGUCAAAUGAAUGGGGUUUCAAAGAGCAUGGCUAAGGAAAGAAAAACUUAAGACUUUGAAGGGUAUGGUGUUUAUGACAAUGAUUCUAGAGAAAUUUAUGAGUUUUAGAGGUGGAAGGAUAAAAGGAAAAGCUUGAGGCUUGAAAGCUAUAGUGUUUAUAGCUUGGAUGGGUAUGAGAAUGAAGGAAAAGCUUGGAGUUAUGGUUUGUGAGUCUUUAUAGGGACAAUGGAGGAUUUCAAUGACAGGAAAAUAGAAGAAAUGGUUGUGAUAGCUGAGAAAUAGCUGGGAUGGCAGCUGGAAUGCUUGCAGUGGCUGAAUGGAGGAAAGAAAGUGGUCUGGUGGUUGUUGAAUGGGGUUGAUGGCUAGGUGAAGCUAGGUACUAUAAACUAAUUAUUUCCUAUGGGUAAAAGGAAGCACUGGAGACUGUUUGUUUCCAGUGGGUAAUAGGAAGUGCUCGAAAAGGCUUGUUUCCAACGGGUAAAUCUAGGCAUUUGGAAAAUAACUAUUUCCUAUGGGUAAAAGGAAGUGCUUGAAAAAUAUCUCAUUUGCUCACCCACAUUGGAGAACUCUAAGUAAUGGACUUGGACUUUGGUGCUCCCAAGUAGCUAGCCCAAAGUCUCCAUUAUCUAAGAGCUUCUGUGGGCCUUGUGGACCUCCGUAACCUUCCAUAUCACCACCCAUCAUUCAAGCCCCAUAAACCACAUGACUUGAGUUCAUGUGAGCUUGAUAGGUGAUUGGCAUGAGAAAAAUGUAUUAUUAGUUUGGCAUGGCAUGUGCACUAUUUCUAAUUUAUUUAAUGAAUUAAAUCUCAAAAUGCAACUUGGAUUAACACAUGACCGACAUUAUUUGUUAUAUUGGGCUUUAAAUGUCUUUGGGCUUCCCGUGACUUCUUGGGCCUCAACAGCUUCUUAAGGAGGUAGCCAUUCUUUUGUCUUCUUUGUUGAUGAGUUCUCUAGAAGAGUAUGGUUGUGCAACAUGAAGCAUAAGUAUGAAGUCUUGAAGAUAUUCAUGAAGUGGAAGAAGAUGAUUCAAACUCAAAGUGGUUCAAAAGAUCAAGACUCUUAGAUCAAACAAUGGCGAUGAGUGUAGGUCUGAUCCUUUCUUGAAAGUUUGUCAAGAUAAGGGUAUUGUGAGACACUUCAUGGUUAGGGAGACACCGCAACAGAAUAGGGUGGCGAAACCUAUGAAUUAUACUUUGCUUGAGAAAGUGCAAUGUAUGUUGUCUAAUGCUAGUGUGGGCAAAGCGUUUUGGGAUGAUGCAAUUACUUAUGCAAGUCAUCUCAUUAAUCGAUUGCGUGUUGCAGCGAAAGAGGGCAAAACGCCUAUGGAUAUAUGGUCUUGUAAACCUUGUACUGAUUAUAAAUAUUUGCAUAUAUUUGGUUGUCCUACUUACUUUCAUGUCAGGGAAAGCAAGUUGGAUCCGAGAGCAAAGACAACUCUAUUUAUGAGCUUUAGCACUGGCGUGAAAGGAUACAGAUUUUUGUGUUCAAAUGUGAAGAAAUUUGUUGUGAGCAGAGAUGUAACUUUUGAUGAGACUACUAUGGUUAAUCAGAACAAGAAUGGAAGUGAAAGUGAUGCGACCAAGACCACAAGUGGUUCAAAGUAUGUGGAGUUACUGAAAACUCUAGUUGUUCCAAUGAAGUCUGAUGAUUCAGACACUAGUCCUACAAUUGAUUCUGAAGAUGAGGAUGAGAGAAAUGAAGAGGAGGCAUCUAUCCAAGAGCCUUCACAGUAACAAGAUUCUAUUGCAACUACUAUACCCAAAAAAGUGAUUCGAAAGCCUACUCAGUAUAAUGAUAUUGUGGCAUAUGCACUUCCAGUUAUUAAAGAUGACAUUCCUUCCACCUAAAGAAGCAAACAGAAGUUCAGAGAGUGUGGAGUGGAAGAAGUCUAUGGAUGAGGAGAUGAAAUCGCUUCAUAAGAUUGAAACUUGGGAACUUGUUCAGUUACCAAGGGGAAAUAAAGCAAUUGGAUGCAAAUGGGUUUAUCCAAGAAGAUGGAAUCUUUGGGUAAAGGAAAUGUAAGAUUCAAAGCUAGAUUGGUAGCAAAGGACUAUGCUCAGAAGAAAGGCAUUGAUUACAACGUGGUAUUCUCUCAUGUUGUAAAGCCUUCCUCUAUUCGUAAUUUGUUGGCUUUGUGCAGUUUGACCUUGAGUUGGUUCAACUUGAUGUCAAGACAACAUUCUUACAUGGUGAUUUAGAAGAAGAGAUUUAUAUGUCUUAGCUACAAGGUUUUGGUGUUGUUGGAAAAGAAAAUUAGGUUUGCAAAUUGCGAAAAUCAUUGUAUGGUUUGAAGCAGUUUUCAAAACAAUGGUACAAGUGAUUUGAUCGGCUCAUGGGCCAAGGUACACAAGGAGUCAAUAUGACCAUUGUGUCUAUUUUCGCAAGCUACAAGAUGGAACCUUCAUCUACUUGCUUUUAUAUGUUGAUGAUAUGCUUAUAGCAUGUAAAAGCAAAGUGGAGAUUGAAAAUUUGAAGAAUCAGUUGAGUAAUGAAUUUGAGAUGAAGGACUUGGGAGAAGCUCGGAAGAUACUUGGAAUGGAAAUUGAACAAACCAAAGGGUCAUUUCUCGAUUUAUGCAUGUCAUCCUUAUCAUUUCAAUUUUAUCGAAUCUUUACUUUGAACUAGUAAAUUUUCAUUUGUAAAGACCAGCAACUGAUUUUUGCUUUAUUUAUUUAGAAUCAAAUCAAAUGGAAACAUUACAAUUUAUCAUAGCCUUAGGUGCAAGCCAAAGCAGCUCUGGCUUGACAGACAAGAAAAAGAAAAGGAAAAAUGACAGCCACACCAAUUUAAUGACAGAGAAAGCACACGCAGUAUAUUUCAUUUAAGGUUUUAGUUGUAGGCAUCUGGGUUGGCCACAAGGUAGUUCUCAAUAAGCUUGAACAGAUCAGUGGCCUUCUCUUUGCCAGCCUUAACAUCCUCUUCCUUGAUCUCAACAUCACCUGUGGUGUGGUAGUUGCUGCUGCUCUUUAUGAUGGAACCUCCAUCAGCAGAUGCCACCAACUUAAUCUCAUAACUGAUUUUCUCAACCUUGUCUGAAAGAGCAUCUCCUUCAACCAAACUGUAGCUGUACACAAAGUUAUCUUUGUCAAGCCCGUCGAUCCGGUGCUUCACAUAGCUGUAAUGACUUCCUGUAAAAUGAGGAUUAUAAUUAGACAUUAAGAGAUUAAUGCUUUCAAGAUUUAUGUUAUUAAUUAAGCAAACAAUUUGGAAGAGGAAAUGGCAGAAACCAACCUUCACCAAAGCUAAUCUUCUUGAUGGUUCCAACACCUCCAUCUCCUUCAACAAUUUCAGCACUUUUAACUGAUUGGGGAGCAAUCUUGGGGAUGAGGGUGUCAGCUUCAAGAACAAGGGCUUUGAACAAUCUUGGUGGGGGGAUGACUGAGGUGGACUCGUCUGUGUAUGUGAAGACACCCAUGAUGAUGAUUUUAGAGCUUAGAAACAGAUCAAAGAAAGAAUGACAGUGUGAAAGGAUUAGAUGAUUGGCAGGGAUGAUAUUUGAUGCUGGAAAAUGUGAGAAAUGGAGGUGCUAUUUAUAGAUUGAGGCUGAAGGUCGGGCUGUGUGAAAUCUGAGCUGUCUAUCAAAGACUUUAAGACUUUGAAAAUGAAAGUGAAAAGGACUUUAGACAGCACACCAGUUGUGUUGUAGUAUUCUGAUCAUCAAAAAGGCCAAUCAGAAUGGACUGUGUACGUAGACAUGUGUUUUAGAACAUUCUAUUAGAAAAUUAAUUAGCACAUAAGCUGAUUGUAAUAAGUUGGAAUUUUUAAAAUCAACUUGUAGAGGUGGCUUUCUUUGACUAAAAUAUUCACAUGGGAAAUAACCACUGAAAACUUGUCCAAACAACCUUAUAUCCAUUGGGUUCACUUCACCCUUAACCUAUAAAUACUCCCUCUGGUGCUCACAUUUCCUCACACCAAUAUCAAUCAUUCUCUUUUAGCUUCCUCCACAUUCAUUCUUUCUUUGAUCAUUUUCUAAGCUCUUAAAUCAUCAUCAUCACGGGUGUCUUCACAUACGAAACCGAGUUCACCUCUGUCAUUGCUCCACCUAGGUUGUUCAAAGCCCUUGUUCUAGAUGCUGACAACCUCGUCCCAAAGAUUGCUCCACAAGCAGUUAAAAGUGCUGAAAUUGUUGAAGGAGAUGGAGGUGUUGGAACCAUCAAGAAGACUAGCUUUGGUGAAGGUUUGUUUCCACCAUUCUCUCUCUCUGUCUACUAACUUGGUUUUCUAGUUAAUAUGUAAAAUGAAAGCAUUUGUGUCUUAAUUUCUAAAAAUGUUGACAUUAACCACCCUCAAAUUAUGAAAUUACAGGAAGUGAAUACAGCUAUGUGAAGCACCAGGUUGAUGCGCUUGACAAAGAUAACUUUGUGUACAGCUACAGUUUGAUUGAAGGAGAUGCUCUUUCAGACAAAAUUGAGAAAAUCUCUUAUGAGAUUAAGUUGGUGGCAUCUGCAGAUGGAGGUUCCAUCAUAAAAAACACCAGCAACUACCACAUCAAGGGAGAUGUUGAGAUCAAGGAAGAGCAUGUUAAAGCUGGCAAAGAAAGGGCCCAUGCUUUGUUCAAGGUUAUUGAGACCUAUCUUGUGGCCAACCCCGAUGCCUACAACUAAAACCAUCUAUUAUAUAUUCUACAUGUUAAGGGCAACAAUCUUAUGUCCUCUCCUUUCUCUGUUUGUUCAGCGGGGUGGUUUUCAAUUUUCUCAUACAAAAGCAGUCUAUGUAGUUAUGAUUAAAGAUUGUAUUUGAUUACAAUUUCAAUAAAUGGAACACAAAUCAUUUGAUAGCUUUUUCCAAAUUUGGUUUGCAAUGUUUCCCCUGAUUUCAUGAAUUCCACAUCGAUCGAUGUUAAGUGUCCGGGGCUAACUUAGCCAAAAAUCAGAAUAUAGAAGUAUAUCUUUUAAAGAUAGAACAUUCGACCCAAAUCAAUUAGCAAUGAGUUGAGAGGUUCAACAUUUUCUUUACGUAAAUGCAAGAUAUAAAAUACCCCAUCUAGAGACUUUGAUUCUUUGGUUGGCAAGGAGGAGAGGCAGAUUAGCUACUCUGGACGGGUUCAGCUAUUUAUAAUGGUCUCACUGCUCAUGCUUGGCUACCUGUUUCCCUUUGGUACCUUUGUUGUUCUUUGUUUCUUUACAAAUAUAUCUGUCAAGAAAUCAUGCUUAAAUUUGUUUCUGGUUCUCCGUUGUGUCAUGUUUGUGCAGAUUUCUGUGAGUUCUUUUUGGACAAAGAUUUCUAUGAGUUUGAUUGUCAGUUUUUAUUGUACAAUAAAGCACGGAUAUAUGACGUUCAACGAAAUAAAAAAGUGAAGUAACAAAUUGGCAUUACCAAAAGUGCAGUAAAAGCCACAGGCAGAAAAUCCAUAGAAAGGCCCCAAUAAGCUGGGCUUUGUACUUUGUUUAUCUUCAGAAAGACAAAAUUACAAUGGCCCAAUUGGCCCAAUUUAGAAAAUAAGUUGAUUCGAUCCAAGAGGAAAAAUUGGUAAGAUCAAACAAAUGUUUUAUUUUAUCAAUGGGGUUCUUGGUUAGAUUGGUUCAGGUCUUAGGUGUGCUCCUAAGUAAUUUUGGAUUUAAAUUCCCAUGGUACUCGUGCCUCUCAAGACCCUCUAAGUAGAAUUCGAAAGCCUUUUAAAAUAAUUAAAAUUCUAAAAGUAAAAAAUUGGCUAAAAUCUUAACAUGUCCAAAGUUUCCCUGAAGAAUUGACCAUAUUUUCAAUUGGAAACAUUUGCUGGAGAUACAAUUAGAUAUAUUUAGUCAUAUACCAAUUCUUAGCUAAAAUUAUAAAUAAACUCUACACAAUUUAAUUUUUAUAAACAUACUCAAAAAAAACCCAAAAAAUGACAGCUGGACUUAUUGAAUUUAAUUUUGAUUAUUAAAUUACUUGGAUGCCCUAUUGAGUGUUUUGGGCUUUUUUAUGAAGUUUUGGAGUUGGGUUUGUUUUAAGAAAUCAAUGGCAGUUUUGUAAUUUAAAAGAAGUUAAAAACUUUUUUGUUAUGUUGUAAAUGAACUUUGGUUGUGUUUCUAAAGUCCAUUUCAUAUAGGGUUUUUUUUUUAAUUAUUUGGGCUCCUAUAUUGGGUAUAAUAGCAAAUCUCCCUAUUGAAGGAGAUGAUAAGUUUGUCAAAGUUGUCGCUAUGUACCCAUUAAGCACAAUACAGUACGGAAGACCACCAUUGUGACAAGUAUUGGGUACAUAGCGACGACUUUGACAAACUUAUCAUCUCAUUCAAUGCAGAUAUUCAGUCAUUUUCUCAAGUCUUUUUGGUCAUUUGCUAAACCCUAUCAAAUUAAUUGACUUUUUCAAGCCAUUUGUGGACAAGUACAUUUAGCAAUUAACAAAAUCUAAAAUUCUUUCAUAUUGAGUGCUAUAAUGCAUGGGAUCAAAAGGAAGUUAUAAUUUAUUCAUCUUUUCUAUUGAGAGGGACGAUAGUAUACUAGAUUAACGCACACUACACGGAUACUAAGACUCUAACUCAUGAUAUUUCUUGGAGGGAGAAAUUGCUACAAACCACUACAUUAGUGGGUCUUUUGUGAAGUUAUAAUUUGUAAUUCAAUAAAUUAAUAUUGUUUUUAUUCUAAGAAGCAGCAUUACUAGUUGAUGUGAUCAAAAAUCCAAUUUAUAAUUUACUCAAUAUCUGAAAAUAUAUUACAUUGAAUGUACUUGGACAGUUUGAUGACCAAAUUAGCAGAUAAUUGCAAUCUAUAGCAAACUCUUGGCUGAUUAUGGCGACAUCUUUGAUUCAUAACUUUAUUAAUUUUUCUAGUAGAAUUGCUCCUAGAUAUAUAUACAAUUCAAUUAACUUCUUUUUUGGUUCAUUAGUUAGGGUGGGGAGAGGAGGGAGUUUUUCUACAAUAGUGAUGUAUGUAUAUGUAUGAAGAAUAUAAAUUACUAUAAUAUAUGCACGUCUUUUUUGUAACUAAAUUAGGUUUCAUAUAUGUCAAAUUAUGAUUUACGAAAAAGAAGAAAGCGAUAAUUAUAUCAACACGAUAAUCAAGGUAUUGAUAGUAUCAAUAAUAUAGGUAACAUAUCGAUGUUGAUGUACAUCUUGCUCUAACUACAGGGAAACAUUAUCCCUUAUCACUGGCCCUGACGUAUUUGUGUGUACAUAUAGAUAAUAUAUAUUAUAUAUUCUCUUUAUUGGGAUGAACAUAUUCUUGAUGUCAGACCAAGAGAAAAACAUCCCUUUGAUGACCAUAUAUGUUGAACAUGGACUGUUUUUAUGGUACCAUUAGCUCGAUGUAUGAAUGAGGACGAAAUUUGGUCCCAAGGUGAUUGCAUCACCCAUCAACAGGCUUUGAUGUAAUAUGUUGUUACCAUUACUUUAUUUUAAAUUAAAAUGAUGGACGAAUUAUGAUCUGGAAAAUUAAUUUUUCAACUCAUUCAUGCAGCCCCACUACAAAGUGAUCCACUAUUUUCUGACUUGAUAAGCUUACAUUAACAUUUUCCUUGUUGUGUAAAUGUCGAUUAAGUUAGAUGGUCAAAGGUAUUAUGUCUGUUCCUUUGCACUCGAGUUGGAUCUCUUUUUCCCCUGUCAACGUAGGUCUUGUGAGUGAGACUUUUUCCAACCUCAAUAAAUGUUCGAUGAAUUGGGUGUGAGUUAGAUUUUGAUAUGUUACUAUCUGCGAAAAAAAAAAAACACUGCGGUUGAUCAAGACAAUAAGCAAUGAUUUUGAAACAUAGAAAAAUCAAAGGGAUCAAUAGCCAAUGGUGACGCCAGUUGCCAUUGCUGAUUAAUCAAAGCAAACCAACAAGUCUCUUGAAACCCCAAAGUCAGAGAAGGGGAGAACCGAAAACAUAUAAGUAAAUAAAUAAAUAAAACUUUGGCUACAUACAUAGAUAUCCUAUAAUUACCAAAUUUUAAUUGUUUUUUAUAUUUUUUUUAAUAAAAGGUGAGAAUAGCACAGGCUAUGUAUGAACAGUUCAUGAAGUUCUCCAGAGUUGUCUGUUUUUCUCUAUUUUCAUGUCAUGUACUUCUCUUAAAAAAUCUCUCGUUCUCAUAAAAACAAUGUGACUUUACAGUUUAUGUAUUGCAAAAACCUCCAUUUAAGGCUGAAUUUUUACUAUGUAUUCUGGAUUUUUUUCCCCUGAUUUCAAUUGAAUCCCUACCAUUUCGCAGAAAAAUAAAAACAAAAAUAAAAACAAAAAACAAUGUAAAUUUACCUUAACAUUGAUGACCGACAGUUCGAGUAAACUGAGACAUUGAAAAUUCAAAGUUGGAAGACCAUCUACAAACUCGGCUCCCCUCAUUCCCUCUUGAAUUUUUGUGUACUUCCAGAGUCUAUCAGACCGUUCAAAUUAUUAUUAUUUUUCUUUCUGGAGAUUAUUAUCCGAUACAAUUAAUUGUAGCACCAACUUGCAUAAACUGGUUGAUGAUCUACAGGGACACUCCACACAGCUGUGGCCUUAUAAUCUCAACCCCUGUGAUCUCUAUAAAUACAGCCUAAACCUUUCUCUUCUCUUCAUCCCAACAACUCUUUACUCUUCAAACAACUCUGUUUGUCCUUUAAACUCUCCCUUUGAUCAUUUUCCAACUCAAGGACUCAUAUCAUGGGUGUCUUCACGUACGAAACAGAGUUCACCUCUGUCAUCCCACCAGAAAAGUUGUUCAAGGCUUUCAUCCUCGACGCCGACAACCUCAUCCCCAAGAUUGCUCCAACAGCAGUGAAAGAUACCGAGAUCCUUGAAGGAGAUGGAGGGGUUGGAACCAUCAAGAAGGUCACCUUUGGUGAAGGUAAUUAGCUAGUUCUUUUUAUUUUUAUUUUUUUUUUAAUACAAGAGAGAUAUUGAAAAAUGGGGGAUUCGAACACACUCGUAAUUGUUCUUAACUACUUGAUUUACAAGUCGAGUAAUUAGAUAGUUCUGUAUGCUCAUGUUUUUUUCUUAAGAUAGUAAAAAAUUCUUAUAAUGUGACAAGCAUGGUUGACUAAUUUGUUUAUUUAUGUUAUAAUUUGCAGGAAGCCAAUAUGGGUAUGUGAAGCACAGGAUCGAUGGGAUUGACAAAGACAACCUUACAUACAGUUACACUUUGAUUGAAGGAGAUGCCUUGUCUGACGUAAUCGAGAAGAUCGUUUAUGAUAUCAAGUUGGUGGCAUCCCCCAACGGAGGAUCCAUUGUCAAGACCAUCAGCCACUACCAUACCAAGGGAGAUGUUGAGAUCAAGGAAGAGCAAGUUAAGGCUGGCAAAGAGAAGGCUGCCGGUCUCUUCAAGCUUGUUGAAGGCUACCUCUUGGCCAACCCCGAUGCCUACAACUAAAUCCAGACUUUUGUUUGUAUUUAUGUUUUUCCAGCUCUGUUAUCAGCUGAAGGUGUGGAUUUGAUGUUGUUUCUGCCUAAAGAGUGGGGGAAAAAAGGGAAAAGAAAAACUGCCCUGGCCUUGGUGUGUUAAAUGUUUGUUGUCCCAUAUAUUCCAGGUGGAUUGGUAUUGUAUUAUUUUCUACAAAAUAAUGAAAAUCAUAUGUUAAUCAAACUAUAAAUUGCAUGAGCACUGGGCUCAUUAGUUUCUUCGAUUUCAAUAUAUUUAACAAUUUUUUGAUGUCACCAAAAAAAUUGGAUUAGAACUUGAUUAGUCUGACGAUCAAACUCCAAUUUAAAGUUGGCCUCUGUCUUUGCCUUAUAUUUGGUAGGGUUAGCUGUUUUAUUAUUUCUUGAAUUUAGACCCGAUUUGUAUUUGAGUACCUCAAUUUCCAAAAUGAUUCUCGUUGUCCUUUAACUUUAGUUUCGUUAAGAUAAAUGGUCCUACUAUCAAUUUUGUUAAAUUUUCUGUUAAGUGCAGGGGCACAAUAGUAUUUUUGUAUCAAAAUUGAUUAAAAUAUGAAUAAAAAUUUAAAAAAACUAAAAAAUUAAAAUUAAACUCUCUCCCUCCUUCUCUGUCCCGAUUUCUACUCCCCCCCAAAACUUGAUUUUUCUUUUUUUUGUUGGUUUUUUAUUUGAUUUUCUUUUAUUGUUAUUUUAAAGAUAUGAUUUUUUUAUUCAUUUUUUGGUUUUAAUAUAAAAAUACCAUUUUGCCCCUGUAUUUAACAGAAAAAGUUAAUAAAAUUGACGGCAGGACCAUUUGUCCAAACGAAACUAAAGUUAAAGGACCACGGAAACCAUUUUGGAAAUUGAGGUACUCAAAUGCAAAUCAGGUCAAAUUUCAGGGACUAAUAAAACUAUUAACCCUAUUUGGUACAACAACAAAAAAUCACUAAAAUGGUAAAUUACUCAAAUAGUCCUCAAAUUUGUACCCGAUUUAUAUUUUGGUCCCUAAACUGAAUUAUUCGUUCAAAUGGUCCACCAACUUUUUAUUAAUCGGCGCUUUGGUCCCACCGUUAAUUUUCUGUUAAAUUUAGUCAUGUGAGUAGCACAUGCUACAUUUGUAGGGGUAAAUAAGACUUUUGACCUAUAUAUCACCCAUUUAUCACCACUUUAUCACAUAUUUAGGGAACAUAGGACGGUUAUGGAUGGUUUUACCCUUACAUUUGACGGCAACAUUAACAUAAUGUAACGGUAUGAUCAAUAGAGCGAUUAAUAUAGAGUUGAUGGACCAUGUGAACGAAUAAUUUAAUUGAGGGACCAAAAUGUAAAUCGAGUAUAAGUUUGAGAACCAUUUGAGUAAUUUAUCAAUUACUAAAAUAAUAUAAAACUAUGAAUCUAAAAGUUGAUAUCUAAAAUUUAUAAAUAAAAUUGACCGUUUAAUAACAUAAGAUAGUAAGUUUGACGUGUACACAAGCAUUAAAGUAAUAUUAUUAUCUUAUGAAUCCAACUAAAAUAAUGAGAUAAGGAAGCUCAUGGCCUAUAGCACUUACAAAUGGCGAGGGCUUUGUUGUCUUUGAAAUUGCAUAAAUUUGGGAAUAUCCAUGCCAUGACGAAUAUGCUAAUUUAGGACAAACCACAAUCUUUAAGACGGUGAGGUGGGACAUGUGAAAAACACACAAAACUGUUUUUUUUAUUUUUUUAUUUUUAUAACUUUUUUUAUUGAGAAGGGUAAUAAUAUGUUAAAUUCAUAUACACUCUACAAAUACUAGAACUCGAACCAUUACACUAGUUAAUCAUAUGCUAAUAUCUCAAUAUUAACUAUCCAUCUUUUACACUCAUUAAAAACUUUUAGCUAAUUUUCAUUUACGUUUAAAAAUAUAAGCACUCGAUCACUUGUAUUCAAAAAUUAUUUAUUUAUUAUAUAUAUAUAUAUAUAUACAGAGAGUUUCCAUUGAGGGAUCCCUCAAAUUAGCUUAUUUGAGGGAUACUAUUGUAGGGCCCAUUCUGUAUUGUAUUUCACUAAUCCAAACCGUCUCUUUUGUAGAUAUUCAUUCAAAGAUCAUCUCUACAAAAAAUCACUCGAAUUCGAUAUCAUUUGACCACUCAAUUGAAUUAUUGAAAUUUUAGUACUUUCUUGAAGCACCAUGUUCAUUGAUUUUGUAGGACACAAUUGGAUAUCGAAACAGUUUCCGAUUUGUCUAAUUUUUUUCAAGGAUGAUCUAUGAAUAUAAACUUAAAAAAUAGAUGGUUUCGAUCGUUGAAAAAAAAAUUCAUAGGGAACCCUAAAGGGUGUCUCUCAAAUAAAAUUAUUUGAAGGAUUCCUCAAUAGAAGGGGACUGUAUAUUAUAUAUAUAUAUAUAUAUAUAUAUUUUAUAAUCACUCGAGUAAUGAACGAACCCUCUUAAAUAGUGUCUAAACUCUCAAGUAAUUUUUUUUAGAAUAUAUAAAAAAAAAAGGACUGAAAAAUCUUCAAAAUGCUUAAAACUUUGUUAGAAUAUAUAUGAGAGAUGCCAAGGCCUGCAAUAAUUGUUCAAAUGAGCUAUAUCAAUAAAACUAUUUAGUCAACUUUAAUUAGUUGAUAGGGAGCAACAACAACAAAAUUAAUAAUAAAAAGGAACUUCAACAUAAGUUGUACAAAUAAUGGACUUGGUUUAUACUUUUCCAAACUCCAUUGAAUUCAUGGAUAAUAGGUGGUAGCAAUAGUUUAACAAGAAAAAUAAUUUUUUAAUUAUUUGUAGGGAAUAAAAGAGAUUCGAUAUACUUAUUCUUUAGUGAAUGAUACAUUGUAUAUGCCCUGACUACCAAGGAACUUCUUUUUUUGUUUUGGAACAUUUUCUAUUAGGAGGAACGAUAAUAUACUAAACUCACACACACUAUACAUAUACUAAAACUCGAACCCAAAAUAUUUUUUAAAAAAACAAUUACUCUAAACUACUACCACUAUAGUGAGUCCUUUGUGCUAGGGAACUUAUUAUAUAUGUAAGACUAGUACUUUUUUUGGGAGGGGAUUUUAUUAGUAACGAAAGAAAUAAAAUAAAAUUGUCGGCUAGAAUGUUAUCAUGUUCUAGGCAUUUGAAUGGUACUAUGACGCCUUCCAACAGCUUUCGGCAAAAUUAUUGUGUGCAGAUUUUUAUUUUAUUGAUUUUUGUAAGGUAAAGUAAUUUGAUCACAUGCAAGAGACAAAAUGUGAUACCACUAUUAUUACAUACCACAUAGUAAGUUGUACAUGUGACAUUUGGUACCUAAUGCAACUACUCCAUCAAUUCAACCAAAUAGUUAAUCUAGCAAUCAUUCAAUAAACUAGGGAAAGGGGAAUUUGAAUUCAAAUGCAGUGUUAGGAGUACAUUCAACAUUCACCAAUUUGGUGCCUAAUUUAUUUCUAUAUAAAUAGACAUAGUUUGCAAAGGAUCCACUAGUGUAGUGGUUUGGAGUAUUUACUCCCUCAGGUGCGCCUCCAUUAACGAUUACGCAGGAUUGAAGAAACUCUAGCAUAGACAUCCAACUAAGAUUGCAAACUUAGAAUAAUAAAAAAGAUAGCUUGAAAAAAACUAAGUUAUAACAAUAUAAAUAAAACUCUCACAAAGAAAAUAUGAAAAGUUUUCACAAAAGAAUAGGUAAAAAUUACAUAGAGAACCCAAAGACUCUCUGCAACUUAUUUCAAACAUAAAGAAACAAUAAAAAUGAUGAUGGUAGAAAUCUGACGCCAAAACGUAGGUAAAGAUCCGACACCAAAACGCAUUCGUAUGUGAUAAUUGAAUGAAAAUCAUAGAAAGAUGUUCAGAAAGCAAAAAAGAUGAGAGAUAUUAAAUAUAUUGAUAGCCAAUUCUGACCGCCAGCUGCUAUUCUUGAAAUAAAAACUCUCAAGUCUUCAAUACUCAACCCCACCCCCUCCCAAAUUAAAGAAGAGAAAGAAAAUCAGAAAAGAACAGAAAAAAAAAAAAAAAAGCAGCUACAAAAACCAAAAAUACCAAGGUGAUAAUUAACCAAGCCAAGCCAAGCCAAAUUAUUGUUCUGGGUCAAUUUUGUCACAAUUUCUGAUAUGUGUAUUUUGUUUUUCUUCAUUUGGUUGCUUUGCCUUCAACUUUAUCCGAUGAUUUGAAGAAGCUUUCCAAAAAAGCACCAUCUUUAUCUAAAAUUCCUACUUUUUACCAUCAAAUUUAAAUGAGAUGCCGACUGUCCAAUUAUCUGACAAGCAGCCUUGAAACUAUGAUGAUCAAUGGGAAAAUUGAAGUUGUACCAACACAUCUAGAAAGCCUUUAAUUUUUUUUUUGUUAUACUUUAUUUGACUCAGACACAGAUAUGUAUGUAUUAAAUACUGGAGGUUGGGAUAUAUAUAUAUAUAUAUCCAAUAAAUAAGUGACACAAUUUGUAUAUUAAAAUUUUGAGGUUCCUUGUUAAUUCAGAGACUUCCAAUAAACAAAUGACAAUUUGCCCCAAAUUCUUCGGUCUAAAGGGAACAGCUCGCAAGGCCCAACCUUCACUCUAAAUCUAUAAAUACCACCUCUCUGUACUCAUCUUCAACACACUCUCAACCUUCUCUAAAACCAUCAUCUUUGUAGUUUGUUCAUUUUGCUCAUCCUCAACCUUUUGAUCAUCACCAUGGGUGUCUUCACAUAUGAGAGCGAGUUCACCUCUGAGAUCCCACCACCAAGAUUGUUCAAGGCCUUUGUCCUCGAUGCUGACAACCUUGUCCCUAAGAUUGCUCCACAGGCAAUUAAGCAUUCUGAAAUCCUUGAAGGAGAUGGCGGCCCCGGAACCAUCAAGAAGAUCACUUUCGGCGAAGGUAAUUACUUAUCUUACAGUAUAUAUGUUGUCAGACUGUUAAUAUGAAACCAAGGUCGUCGAAUUCUUGCUUGAACAUGUUUUAUUAUUGUUCUUCAGGCAGCCAGUACGGCUACGUGAAGCACAAGAUUGACUCCAUUGACAAAGAAAACCAUUCAUACAGCUACACCUUGAUCGAAGGAGAUGCUUUGGGAGACAAUCUUGAGAAGAUCUCGUACGAGACCAAGUUGGUGGCAUCCCCCAGCGGAGGAUCCAUCAUCAAGAGCACCAGCCACUACCACACCAAGGGAGAUGUUGAGAUCAAGGAAGAGCAUGUCAAGGCCGGCAAAGAGAAGGCCUCAAAUCUCUUCAAGCUCAUUGAGACCUACCUUAAGGGCCACCCCGAUGCCUACAACUAAAUUGAUCAGAUGUCUCUGUGAUGCUUGGGUCUUGCCUUUACUAUAUGAUCAGUCGAAGGAGAUUUGUGUGGCUUUUCUUGUUGCUUUCUAGUCAGUCCAAAGUAGCCAUAGGGUUGUUGGGCACUUGGGCUUGAAAAUAAGUGUGUAUGGGUUGUGAUCUUCUGGUUGCUUUUGAUGUUUUCGUUUGGAUCAAGUUGCAGA